rnacentral:lncRNA from 1 species
GUUUAUCACAUAUCUUUUAUUGUUUUCUUGAUUUUUUUAAAUUUUAUAAUUUUUAAUUAAUAUAUUUCCUCGCUUACCUCACUCAAUUAAUUGUUCAUUCUUUUUCACAUUGCACAACCUUUCUUUCUCUGUGUAACUUUCUGUCAUCACUGUACAAGUUUUCCACAUUUAUAUAUACAAACACACUUACAGAAACACAAUGUUCACAUAUGUACACACAUAUAAUCUUUACAUAUAAAGUAAAAAGAUUCCUCCCUCACAAAUAAACAUAGUAAUUUAUACAACAUAUGUGUUGAACUUUGUACAGCUCACAAAUUGUGUGAAACAAGUAUGAUAUCUGAAAAAUAUAUAUGACCCAGUUAAUGCAAUGUUGAGAUGGAAGAUGAAUUCAUUAUUUAGUUCAAUGUCAAAUCUGAACAUAAGCACUAAAGCAAUGAUGUACAAAACAAUCAUAGUUAGAAACUUCAAAAAGUAAAUAAAAUACAUAAAAUACAAAUUAGAAAAAUACAUACAAAAUAUAUUAAAUAAUUGAUUUUACCUAAACUAACCCAAAUAUAACAAUAAGCAAGCUGAUCUUUAUACGAUACUUUAAUUAGUCUUGUACGAGGUUUUUUGUUCAAAUAGAUGUUUUUAAGUAGAUUAUUCCUUUUCUUUCAUUAACUAUGGAGCUGUCUUCGUUUUGCAACAUCUAACUAUUUUUUAUUAAUAUUGUUUUUGGUGGAUUUUUUUCAUUACAUUAUGAUAAUGCCUGUACAAGAAACAUGGAAAAUGCACUUUAAUAGAAAUACCAUUAUGUGAAUGCUUUCGAAAAUAAUGCCUGUAGAAAGAGACAAUGAGCAUUUAAUUUGUGUUCAAGAAA